rnacentral:rRNA from 1 species
AAUAAAUUUUUAAUUAUUUGGUUUAAUAAUAAAUAUUUAAAAAUUAUGUUAUAAAUAAAAUUUAUUUUUUAAAAGAAGACUUGUAUCUUUGUAUAUUAAAUUUAAAAUAUUAUGGUAGUGUAAGAAACCUAAAAUGGGUGACAGUAAAAUAUUCUAAUUAGGGAAUUUUGAAAAUUAAAUUGAUAAACCUCAAUUUUAUUUACUUUAAAUAAGUUUAUGUGUGGUUGUUAAAAGAUAUUUUAAAUAAUAAAUUUUUAUUUCAGAUUUUGCGUAGUUUAUUAAAGGUAUUUUGAAAUGUAAUUUAAUAUUAAUAAUUAAUUUAUUUAAUAUAGGACUUAAAAGUAAGAUUAAAGUUUAUGAAAUUGUUAUAUUUUAGGCUCAUAUCGUCCGUCACUCUCAUUUU